rnacentral:rRNA from 1 species
UACAGGGGGUGCAAACGUUGCUCGGAAUUACUGGGCGUAAAGCGUGCGCAGGCGGCGCGUUAAGACAGGUGUGAAAGCCCCGAGCUUAACUUGGGAAUUGCGCUUGUGACUGGCGUGCUGGAGUGUGGCAGAGGGAGGUGGAAUUCCACGUGUAGCAGUGAAAUGCGUAGAGAUGUGGAGGAACACCGAUGGCGAAGGCAGCCUCCUGGGCCAGCACUGACGCUCAUGCACGAAAGCGUGGGGAGCAAACAGG